GUGAAUCAUCAAAUCUUUGAACGCAAAUUGCACUCUCUGGUAUUCCGGUGAGUAUGCCUGUUUGAGGGUCAGUUUAAAUGAAAAUCUGUGUUGUUGCUGCCUUUCGUGGUUACGCACCGGAUUUAGUUUGUCGUUCCUUCGGUUAAGUAACCUAAAAUUUUGCGUGAUUUUUUCGAACGUUUUUUAAUUAUUUUACGUACGUCUUGGAUAUCGUAUUCUAUGUGCGGUCAUCCUCAUGAUACGCGCCUAUAAUUUCACAUCACAAUUAUCUCAAAUCAGGUAAGAGUA
rnacentral:misc_RNA from 1 species